UCCCGUGUGGCUCAGUUGGUAGAGCAUGGUGUUUGCAACGCCAGGGUUGUGGGUUCGAUUCCCACGGGGGGGG
rfam:Salmo salar isolate Sally breed double haploid chromosome ssa06, whole genome shotgun sequence.